UCAGAUCCAGCCGAAGUGGCAGGGGAAUCGGGUGUGACAGAGACAGGUCGAGCAGCAUGGUGUACCAAUGCUGUCUCGGCCAAGCCGGAGCGAUCAGGAUAAGGGCUUUGUCCCUGCGCGUCUUGAUCAGAACUUGGUGGACGAGAGGAAACUGUGGAAAGGCAUAACAGAAGUGGCCUGUCCAUGGAAUGAGGAACGCGUCCGACAGGGAGCUCGGGGAGCGACCUUGCAGGGACCAGAACAGCUGGCAUUUCCUGUUCUCCCUGGAAGCAAAGAGGUCUAUUUGGGGAAAGCCCCACCUCCGGAAAACGGAAUGGAGAAUGUCCGGCCGGAUGGACCAUUCAUGUGCCAGGAAGGACCUGCUCAGAUGAUCUGCAAGUGUGUUCCGGACUCCUGGGAUGAAGGAGGCUACUUGGUCUAUGGGGUGGGCUAUGCAGAAGUCCCACAGUAGGAUCGCUUCCUGACACAAGUGGGAGGACCGUGUCUCUCCCUGUUUGUUUAUAUAAUACAUGGCCGUUGUGUUGUCUGUGAAGACUGCGACACAAC